rnacentral:rRNA from 1 species
UACACUUAACUUUGGUCUUAACUUGCUCUGGGUGCGCAUGUCGAGUAAUCCAUAAAGAACCCCCCUCACAGAUAGGACCAACAUUUUGAAAGAAUGCUAAUACCUGAUAUUUGAUUUUAAGUCAUCUUAGAAUUAUGAAAUCUAUUUGCACCGUGAGAGAGCUCUGCGUCCCCAUUAGUUAGUUGGAGAGGUAACAGCUCACCAAGGCGAUGAUGGGUAGCCGGCCUGAGAGGGUGAACGCCCACAAGGGGACUGAGACACGGCCCUUACUCUUACGGGAGGCAGCAGUGGGGAAUAUUGGACAAUGGACCGAGAGUCUGAUCCAGCAAUUCUGUGUGCACGAUGAAGUUUUUCGGAAUGUAAAGUGCUUUCAGUUGGGAAGAAAUAAAUGACGGUACCAACAGAAGAAGUGACGGCUAAAUACGUGCCAGCAGCCGCGGUAAUACGUAUGUCACGAGCGUUAUCCGGAUUUAUUGGGCGUAAAGCGCGUCUAGGUGGUUAUGUAAGUCUGAUGUGAAAAUGCAGGGCUCAACUCUGUAUUGCGUUGGAAACUGUAUAACUAGAGUACUGGAGAGGUAAGCGGAACUACAAGUGUAGAGGUGAAAUUCGUAGAUAUUUGUAGGAAUGCCGAUGGGGAAGCCAGCUUACUGGACAGAUACUGACGCUAAAGCGCGAAAGCGUGGGUAGCAAACAGG